CACAGCGGCGAGAGCCCGAGCACCCCCCGGGGAACCUGCUCCCUGACCGGGAACCGAGUCGGCGCGGAGCGGAAACACCACGCGCGGCCCGGAUGCUCCGGAGCCCGGAGACAGAAGACCCUAGAGCCACGCGCACAGCCCAGCCCGGGACCCCGCGGCAUUCAACGUCACCGCGCAGGCCUUUUGAAAAGCAUGAUCUUAUUGGAACACAUUCAUAUAAAUCGCUCAGGCUGCAAUCCUCUCGACCGUGGCUACUCUACAGGGAGGAGGAAGCCUGCCUUAUGGCUGGAAGUUGGUGCCCUCGCCAGGAUGGUGACAUCUUAAAGGAACUAAGAUCGACUAUGAAGCAUGAAGCCAAUAAAGCCCCUUGGAAAUGUUGGCCGAUGCCUUUCUUACAGAGUCCCCAGCAGCCUUAUCAGAAAUCUAGAAUGCAAGCUGAUGUGCCUGCUUAUUCCUGUGAACCAGUGGAAGACCUCAGGUAUCUCUUCAAAUGAUAAUAUGGAC